GAUUUAGUUUGGACAAAGCUGUUCAAAUGGCAAAAUCGCUUUCCAGAAUCCAGAGAAGAAUAGUCUUCAAAGGAAUUUCAGAAGUAAGCUUGAGCCUGAGGUGAGACAGGUAGGACAGUAAACAUUAUCUGUUUAAUAUCUCUUAAUAUCAAGUUUAAUUAGACUGUGUUCUUGCAAGUUGAUUAACACUGGUAAUUAAUUUGUUAAUGUUGCAGCCUAGCACAGAAAAUGUUUCAAGAGUUUAACUUGUACGAAGUGUGAAAGUCUGCUUUUAAAGCUGACAAACUAUUAUGGAACAUGUUGAGUCCAUUAAUUUACAGAGGCCUAAAAAUAACUACACACUUUUCCAGGUUAAGGAAAAGGAUUUUAGGAUAGUUUUAUAAUAACUAUCUUUUGGAAUAACUUUUGGAAUAGUCCUUGCUAGCAGUCAUACACCACUGGUGAUAUUCAGUUGGAUUAAACAGAAUAGAUCCAUUGGAUUCAAUAGGUUUACGUAUCUUUGAACUAAUGUUUGUAAUCACUUGUGUUAUCUUUCUGUGAGAUUCUGCAUAGGUUAUACAAUGGCAUUGACAAUAUGGCAUUACUGCAUUCUAAUUGAACUCGUGCAAUAUUUUGGAAUUCCUAGCUUCAUUCCAUAUGAAAUUGAAGUUUCUUUGCAAUAUUUAUGUUCAAUGUAUUUAUUUAUUUGUUAGCUUGUUUAUUAUAUUUGCAGGCAUCAGCUUUCGUUUCUUCUCAUAAACUUUCAUGAGUCAUUUUGGGAUUUUGAUUUAGCACUUCCCACGGAUUAAAGAAAAAAUCAUAAAAUGGCAUGGAAAGGAAAUAUGGAAUAUUCACUUCACUAAUGUCCAAAAUGUUGAUGAAAUGCCAUAAUUUCAAAUUCAUUAUAAAAUCUUUAUUUUUUUGAAAAAAUAAACUAAAAGCAGAGUGAAAAAUAGGCUCAUUCUGUAAUAGAAAGCAGUGGUUUAAGAGUAUGGUAAUAAAACACAGAUUUGGGGUACAUAUGUUUUAAGCAUUAUAAUGCAGAAUUUGACUGCUGAAUCCCUUCUGGUAUUAUUAUUAUUAUUAUUAUUAUUAUUAUUAUUCUCAGUUCACCUGCUAUUACAUAGGAAAAAACAAGAUGAAUUGAGGCUGCUAUCCUAUAUUUACUUACCACACAGCGGCUCUAGACAUGCAUACAAUUGUGCUGUAUGCUAGUAAUUCUCAAACUGGUUUUUGUGUGUGCUUCCUUGAAGCAUGUUUCUUCACAUCCUCCUAUAUUCCAUACUGACACCUCAAGAAUCUUGCUAGCAUCAUUUUACAUAUGGAUCUGCCACAUUGCACCUGACCAGCAGGAUAGUAUAGAGGAGGCACCUUUUCAUGGUUCUCCUUGGGACUUGGCUAUACAGCUGCAAAUAAAACGUUUUAAGUGUGCUUUAAGUGCAAUAUACAAUAUGACACUAGAUGGCGAUGGUGAGUCUUAUGGAAAAUUCGCUGUAUUUUUUUAAAAAAAACUUGUCCAAAAAAAAGAGCAUUUUCAGAACGGUUUUUAUAUGUGUGUAGAUUCCUCCCAAAUUAACUCUUUUUUCAUCCUGCAGCUAGUGUGGUGAAUCUAGUCUGCAGGUGUUAGUGUGUAUACAUAAGACAGGAUGCAAAGCUCCUCAACUAAUUUGCAUGCAAAACAAGCAGACAAAAACUCACUACUAGUCUCUCCAGUGUGGGCUAGCAAAAAUUUUCUUGAGGCUUUUCAGAGGCACUACUGCGCCUUUAACUAGAAACUUCCUCAUUGGAGUGUCUGACACAAACUGCUUCCUGUUCAUUGUGGCAUAGCAUAGCGGGUUAACUAGUUCUUCACCAACAAUGGGAGUUUUAAAUUGCAGGUUUCUUUUCAUUUCUUUAAUUUUCUUUCAUUUCUUUUUGACUGUGAAUAGUGUCAUUUUACUUUUUUUUUUAAAAAAAGGGGAAGCUUGCGGAAUUGUACAAUUAUGGGGAAAUUAAGAGGCAAUUCAUCACUAAAGUCACAAAAGGCAGCUUCUAAUUAAAAUGCCAGGUGAAGUUUGUUGAGUAGCGCUUACUCUAAUAAUAAUAAUAAUAAUAAUAAUAAUACUCCACCUGUCUGUCUGGGUUUCCCCAGCCACUCUGGGUGGCUUACAGCAGAUAUAAAACAUAGUAAAAUAUUAAACAUUAAACGGAUGCAGACCAUGGUGAUGCCUAUUUCCAGAAACUAUAGCACCAAUGUAGGAGUUAGGUAAGGGAUGCGGGUGGCGCUGUGGGUUAAACCACAGAGCCUAGGGCUUGCUGAUCAGAAGGUUGGCGGUUCGAAUCCCCGUCACGCUCCCGUUGCUCGGUCCCUGCUCCUGCCAACCAAGCAGUUCGAAAGCACGUCAAAGUGCAAGUAGAUAAAUAGGCGGGAAGGUAAACAGCGUUUCCGUGCGCUGCUCUGGUUCGCCAGAAGCGGCUUAGUCAUGCUGGCCACAUGACCUGGAAGCUGUACGCCGGCUCCCUCGGCCAAUAAAGCGAGAUGAGCGCCGCAACCCCAGAGUCGGUCACAACUGGACCUAAUGGUCAGGGGUCCCUUUACCUUUAGGAAUUAGAUGGAGCCACCAUUUUAGUUCUGCUUCUACAAAUGAUUGCAGAAAAGCAAAGUGUCAGCAGUGUUAAGGGCUCCAGUAUGGAAUAGGUCUAGGUGACAAACCUACUACAGUACCUGAAAUCUAAUUUUCUCUAUUUACAGAUUAUUAUUAUUUUUAACAGGAGAAAAUGUGUAACAAUGCAUGAGUUUGUGAGGGGCUUCCACAACUUCCAAAUGAAGGCAGGGAAUUAAAUGCUGCUCUUGCAGUAAAAAGGCCCUGUGGCCAUAGAGCAGAAGAUGCAAAUUUUGUUUUUAAUUUGUAAGGGGCCUUCUCACACCCUUAGGUUAGGUCAGAGUGGAUUUGUAGCUAUGACCAGGGUGUGGGGGUGGAAUUUGGGGAGGAUACAGUUGGGACUGGUGGAAUGCAAUCUCCUAUAUGAGACGGGGGCCUCAGCCAGGGUUGAGAAACACCGGCUUAUAUCCUCCAGUAUACCUGUACAAUUAAUAAGCCUUUUGUUGAAUAGCAAAUGGAAAGAAGCUUAUGUCCUUUAUAUAUGAGAGUGCAAAGUUAAGAAUCUGCUUCAUUUUCUAUCCUGCUGGCUCACAAAGGUUAGAAACAGCACUGGUGAGCCAAGUUAAAUUCUGGUGUUACAUUCACUGCAUAGUUAAGAGUUCCUAUCUUUUAAAAUUAUGUAUGUUAUUAAAAUUGUAAUAAAUAUGCAAUCUCCUGUCCUAUUCAAUUUAUUUCUCUCUUUCAUCAAAGAUGAGUUCCCACUGACUCUGUGAAGAUAGUGAAGUCCUAGGCAUUGUAGUGGAGAAAUUAAGGAGCCUGAGGCAGCAGCAACAUCCUACCUAGCCCUUUCAUUUACACUUAAAACACCCUCCAGGGAGGGGGGGAAACCUUUUUAUGGGACCCCAUGAAAAAAAGUGAAAAUGAUGAAAACUAAACUUGGUGUGGAGUUCGUUCAGUUGGAUAACCUUGAAAAGAAAAAAAAGGAAAGGAAAAGUAAAUCCUUUCAGGACACAAAACAUACACACUUUGAGACCUAGAUUAACCCCAGUGUUUGAACUAAGCAAUCCACAUGCUUAAGAGACCUUUAAUGGUCUAUUAACUAUAUUCUGCUCAACAUUAUAACCAUUCUAUUAUCCUUUUGGAUUUUUAUAUAAAUUACUAAUUGCUACCUGCCAGCUUUGCCUCUCUGCUUUUCAAUUUACCAUGUAAACUCCCUUAAUAUAUGUUGAAAUGUUUGCAUAAACUAAAAUAAUACACCUGUUCUGUCAAAUGCCUCAGACAAUCACAUUUAGAUUAGAGGCUUGCAAAAACAUGCAUUUAAAACUUGACAAUGCAUGUACAGAAUUUAACCACGUAUAACAUAGCAUUCCAAGCUGUUUAUUCAACUAUAAUUUAUUUUACUAUGAAGGAACCAUUUGGCUUUGCUAAUGGUGUAUAUAUCUAGUAUUAAUGCAUCUUCUCUUGAACGUUGCCAUUAUUUCCACAUUUUAAACUGAAGAAAGAGAUGAAACAGUAAAUACUGAAUAGAUAUAUAUAUAGAUAUAUCUCAUGCUUUCUACAUGUGUAUGAAAUUUUCUGCCUAGCUGCCAGUUUAUCACCUCAUUUAAAAACUAUACUGAAGUUCUUAAAUAAUUAUAAAUUAUUGCUAAUUAGGAUAUAUACAUAUUCAUGACUUACAACAGGGGCAUAAAACCCCCCAAAUCAAAUGACUUGGAGGGUCAAAGUGUGCCCCUGUAAAGGCCCAAGGGCUGCAACCAUAAGAUUUCACACACAGUCUAUUUCCCUUCAGUUUGAUGGGUACAAUUUGGCAAUUGUGAGGUUCACAAGCUGCUACAAGUGUUUCACUUCUAGAGUUCCAGGCAAGGAAAUACUGGAAGGGCAUGGCAAUAAAAAGGCUUUGCAAGAUCGUUACCUGUCAAAGUCCACCUCCUGAUAGCUGGCUUCUUUCCUCAUCAAUAUGAAGAACAUUGGCUUGCUUUGGAACCUGAGGCCCAUGAACUGGUUUAAAGGGCAAGCUGGGUCUAUUUCAGUACUUCUGAACAAAAAAUAUAAAAAGAGCCUUGAGUCCCAAAGCUUAGCGAACCCAAUCUCCUGUUUCUCACAGUGGCCAGCCAGGUUUUUUGUGGGACGUCCACAAGGAUGAUAUGUUGACAACAGCCUUCUCUUGCUCCUGUAAUUGGCCCCUAUUCAUAGACACACCUUCGCUGAUCAUAGAUGUAGCAGGUAGCUAUCAUGACUGGUAACCAUUGAUAUCUUCCAUGAAUGUACUUGCCUACACUCCCUUUAAAAACUACCUAAGAUAGUGGCCUGAAAGUGGCGUGAGGUAGACCAAACCUGGAAAAGACAUAGGAAAAAUAAAGUUUUGGAAGAGGAUCAAUUGCCCAAGUCCAUAUCCUGAAGUCUGCCUUUUUUCUUCUUCAGUGUGAGGAAUACUGGUUUGCUGUGCAAUUGCCUCAAGUCCUGAUUCAAGGGACAAGUAUAAAGCAACAGAAAAGAUAUCAGAGCAAUUUACAACAAUUAUAUAGGCAAUAUAAAGAACAUCAGAACUAAAAACACAGUUCACUAACUAUUUCAGCAAGACUGUGGAAGAAUUCAGUAGCCUAUCUGUUUGUACGCAAACCUUGUAUGGCUUCUUUGCCCUAAAAAACACUGGAUCCUUAGGGAUCCUUAUGGCACAUCAUGGGGUGCAAAAUGUAUUGACAGAGACCCCAGAGAACAAAAUAAAUUAGCAGAGUCUUUUGCUUGAAGCCCCUUGCUUAUGGAAAUAUACCAGCAAAGUACCAGCAAAGAUUGUGCAUGUGCAUAUUAAGGAGUUCUGACUGGCAUUCUAGGGUGACCAGGCCCCUGUGCCUUAAAUAGUUAUGCAGCAGAAGAAAUGUAAACAGGAUAAUCAUCUGAGUUGGUAUGCAACUAAGUUUUACUCAGAUAGACCCAUCAAAAUUAAACUACCUACCCUUACUUUUAUUUGUUUACACAAUUUAUAUAUUGCUACAAUAGUUUCCAAGCAAUAUCUAAACAGCAUUCUGUUCAUUAAUUUCAAUGGGUCUCCUCUGAGUAAAACUUUGUUGAAUGCCAUGCAUUGUUUGGUGGUGCUGCAGGACUGAACAUGAGGAAACCUCUCAAUUUUCAGAGAUGAAUUCUCUAGUUAUAAUCUGUCAGCCAACUGAUUAUGAAUUAAACUACUUGGCUAGAAACGAUUUUGAUUGCAAGUGCUGUAACUUUAUAAUUUAUAGGUUUCAUAUGGCAAAUGCUAGUAAUAUGGCAAAUGCUAAUAAACGCUCAUAUGUAGGAUUUGAUUUUAUAAGGGUAAUACAUGUUCCACAGCACUGCUACUUCUAGAUAAGAAAUUGUGUGUACCUCACAUGUACAUUGUCACAUAAUGUUCAUGUGGAGGAGCCCCGCAGGUGGCAGGCUUCCCAUCACAGUUAUGCACAAAAAAACCAGACACAUCUGUGUUCAACACAUAAGACUUUGAACAUGCAGAUAGAGGUUUCUCUUUCUUUCUCUCCCCUCAUAAAAUAAACUUUCAGAUAUGAUUGUGGCUGGAAUAUUUAAGCAUCUCAGUCAGAAGACCUUUUUUUAAACCCAACUAGCUUUAAUUUGAUUUCUUUAGAUACAGUACUUAGCUUUCCUUAAAACAUGGCAUAGUAGUAAAUUAAUGGUUUGCUGACCAUUUUAUACAGUGCUGUGAUGUGAAUGAUCUUUGGUCUACUCAGUAGACAGGGCAACAGUUAUCCUGUUGUUGUUGUUUUUGUUGCUGCAGUUAAACAGCUAUUCUGACAUUUAAAUGGUUUAUUAACUCAAGUGAGUUCAAAGUGAAUUCUGGCAAUUUAAGAACUUUUUCCUCACCUCUUUUUGUGCAAGAGAUGAGGCCCCUUCACAAGUAUGCAUGCAGUGCCACUAGGAACAAAGGUUUCAAAAUUCUUGCUGCAUCACUUGGAUGCCAAUUUCUGCUUUCGGCUGUCACUCCCUGCCCAUUAAUGGUGCAGCCUGAAGCAUCUCACUUCACCCUUCUACAUCAAUGGGCUAGCUAUAUACACAUGUGUAGUAGCUGCUUUCCCUAUUUGUGCAACACUGAAGCCUCGUGAUUGGAUUGGAAAGACCCAUGUGAUUAUUCACGGCCACAACUUCCUCUAUCCACAAGUGUAUUCACAUUCACCCCAAGGAAGCACCUGUCUCCACAGCUGAGGUGUCUUCAUUUGCAUGGAUAUAUGUAGGUAAAAGAAGUUCAAAAUUCAACGCAGGCACAAGAAAAUAGCAGAAAGGACCUGAGACAGUGGAGGAGGCUGCAAUACCUUGUAAUUCUUUGGUGUGUAGAGAAAGGUUGUCUGUUCAGAUAACAACCCUGAAUCAACCAUCUGUCAAACCUUUUAGAAUACACACAAUAACACAAAUGUGUAAAGGAGGAUACUGUAUUCCAUAAAUAUUCUGUUUCACUGGUUUCAAUUAGUUUCACACUGACUGUUCCAGAAAAUGAAUAAUAGUAGCAUGCAUGCAUAUAUAUAUAUAUAUGAAUGAUUUGUUGUUUGCUUGUGAAAAGAUAACACAUUAUUUUAGAAAAAAAUCAGUGUUGGGUUAUAUUGGUUUGUUUUGAGAACAUGAAUUUGCCAUGGGUAGGUAGACUGAUAGAUUUAUUUUAGACAUCUGUAAAAAACACAUCAAUAAUACCCUUUGUAAAGUUUUCCCAUGGAAUUCCUGCUGCAACAUGACAAAGGCAUUUGUUAACGAGAAUUGCAUGGCUUUUUUCAUUCCACCCCCACCCACUGUGGCCCUUUUUUGGGAAAGGAGGACACAAAUUUAGUCACGGUGCAAUUUGUUAAAAAACCUACAUGUAAUGAUAAAAACGUCAUUGCUAGAAGUUCAGUGAAUGGUUAAAGGCCACGAUCCAGAGCGUGCGUUUUGCAUCUGCCAAGCUCUUGUUUGCUUCCCUCCUUUCUCCUUCCCACACCCCACCAUGCUGCAGUUUUGUCUCUGGAUAAGCAUCUAUGGUUUAAUGGAAAAUUAUAUUUGGCAUCAUGUGGUUGCCUAUGUAGUUUCAUUAGCAAAUAAAACAGGAGAAUUUUAAUGAGAUGCACUGAUAUCAAAGUGUUUGCUGCUUAGCCACAUUAGAUAUAUGAUUUGCUGUCAUGAUAAUGAGUUGCAUAUUAACUUUGUUUUAUUGACUUUAUAAUGAUGUAUGACUGUGGCGAGGAUGACAGAUAGCGCACAGGAUUGUUGUGGAGGUAAACAAAAUCGAUUUGUAAAGCACUUUGUAAUGUAAAAUAUGCUAUAGAAAUAUAGAAUUGCAUCCAGACUGAAAUCAGUGGAAUUUAAGAUAGUCAUGACUAACUUAAGUCCCAUCUAUUUCAGUGGGUCUACUCUGCCUAAGUCCUCAAACCAGAGUGGUUAAUUUGUGACCAUCAGAAUGCCAUUGGACUUGAACUCCCAUCAUUCAUGACCAUGGAGCAUGCAGGCUAGGACUAAUGGGAGUUGGAAUCUGACACCUGGUGGUCACAAGUUACGUAGCUGCCCCUGCCUGUUUUCAACACAUUACAGUGGUACCUCGGGUUACAUACGCUUCAGGUUACAGACUCCUCUAAACAAGAAAUAGUGCUUCAGGUUAAGAACUUUGCUUCAGGAUGAGAACAGAAAUCGUGCUCCGGCGGCACAGCAGCAGCAGGAGGCCCCAUUAGCUAAAGUGGUGUUUCAAGUUAAGAACAGUUUCAGGUUAAGAAUGGACCUCCGGAACGAAUUAAGUACUUAACCCGAGGUACCACUGUACUCUUGAAGUUGCUCUAUUGUAAAAAGGGAAAGGGAACCCUGAGCAUUAGGUCCAGUCAUGGCCGACUCUGGGGUUGCGGCACUCAUCUCGCUUUAUUGGCCAAGGGAGCCGCAUACAGCUUCCGGGUCAUGUGGCCAGCAUGACUAAGCCGCUUCUGGCCAACCAGAGCAGCACACGGAAACGCCGUUUACCUUCCCGCCAGAGCGGUACCUAUUUAUCUACUUGCACUUUGACGUGCUUUCGAACUGCUAGGUUGGCAGGAGCAGGGACUAAGCAACGGGAGCUCACCCCAUCGCGGGGAUUCGAAUCGCCAACCUUCUGAUUGGCAAGUCCUAGGCUCUGUGGUUUAACCCACAGCGCCACCCGUGUCCCUUGCUCUACUGUACUACCCUAUUAAUAAAAAGUGGCUCUUUAAUAGAUCUUGCUUUGCUGUUUUCUUCUUCAAAAAUAAAAUAGGUCUAUAGUCUCCUUGGCUGAAAUAGAAUAGGGCAGAUUGCAGCAAUAAUAAAUUUCUUCGAUGGGCUUACAAAUGAAUGACCUGAUCUUGUUGCCUCUUAAUCAACCAUGCGAUGCACUCAUAAGAUAAAGGCGCUGCUUUUAUCUCUGACAGAAACUGCAGAGUGUAGUAUAGUCAAAUUAGGACUGCAGAAAGCCAGGUUCAAAUCUCCGCUCCAACAUGAAGCUUCCUGAGUGACCUUGUGUCAGUUUUCAUACCUAACUUAUUGCAUAGAGUUGUCUGAGAAGUGGGUAGCCACGUAUACCACUCUGAGCUCCCUGGACGAAGGGGUGGGGAAAAACAUAAAAAAUAAUGUAGCACUGAUGGCUGGACAGUGGCAUAAUGAUACAGCAUGCACGGCUAUUGCAUAUUGUUUGUGGGGAUGGGUAAGAGAUUCAGGAGAGGCAGGGUCGCAGGCAGCUCUGCUAUUUGUAUAGUGAAAUAGGGAUAGAUGAAUCUAUUUCAGUUUCAUGUCAGUUUUCUUUUUUUAAAAAAAUAAUAUUUAUUACUUUUCCAACAAUUUCAACACUACAAAAUAAAUAAAUAAAUAAAUAAAUAAUACAAUACAAUACAAUACAAUACAAUACAAUACAAUACAUAACACUAACAGAUUAAACUAACAAAACAAAACAAAAACAGUUAAACACAUCAAACAAUUUCAAUAUCUUAUCUUUCAUUCACUUAUUUCCACAACCUCCUCACACCUCCCUUUUUGUAUUCCACUUCUGUUAAUUGUUUCAGCAAUUCCUUUCCAUCUUCCUCUGUUUUCUAUCCUAUAAUUGUCUUAACACAUUCUAACCUUAUUUUUCCCUUUAAUUCUCUAUUAAUCUAUUUAUACUUAAUUCCUUAUAACAUUUCUACUAAAGCCAUAUAACUUCAUUCCAACAUUUUUCUAACAUUCAUUAAUUUUACAGUAUUUCUGUAAAUAGUCUUUAAACUUUUUCCAGUCUUCUUCUACCGACUCUUCUCCCUGGUCUCGGAUUCUGCCAGUCAUUUCCGCCAGUUCCAUAUAGUCCAUCAUCUUCAUCUGCCAUUCUUCCCGGGUGGGUAAAUCUUGUGUCUUCCAAUACUUUGCGAUGAGUAUUCUUGCUGCUGUUGUUGCAUACAUAAAAAAAGUUCUAUCCUUCUUUGGCACCAACUGGCCGACCAUGCCCAGGAGAAAGGCCUCUGGUUUCUUCAGGAAGGUAUAUUUGAAUACCUUUUUCAUUUCGUUAUAAAUCAUCUCCCAGAAUGUCUUAAUCCUUGGGCAUGUCCACCAAAGGUGAAAGAAUGUACCUUCAGUCUCAUUACAUUUCCAACAUUUAUUGUCGGGCCAGUUUCAUGUCAGUUUUCCGUGAGGUUAAGCAUUAUUCCAUUCUCUCCUGUUUUAUGCAGAUUAAAAGAAAGAAUUCAUGAAAAAUAGCAUUUAAAGUGUAUGCAGUUCUCUCCCUGAUAUACCAGUUUAGUAGGCUCUUUCUCCUAAAAUAUACAUUUUCUGCUUUUCUAUGCAUUAUUCCCUAAAAUAUGUAUGUUGUGUGCGUUUCCCCCACAAAAUGAGUAUUUUUCUAUUUGUUUUUGAACCAAUACUACAUCAAAACAUUGGGAGAUGUUCCAUCCUGAUCCACGUAUAAAUUUAGGAGCUGUGAAUUGUGUUUUAAAAUGUAUUCCUACAUCAUAGUGGCUGCCUCCAGUCUACCUCUCCUAAACACUGUCACCUUUUGGAUAACUAUAGUCUAGUAAAGGACCAACAUAGGAGGCAUUUCUCCUGUGUUCCAUUGCUCCCUUCCUGUUCUGCUCCUUGUGAGUUUGGACUGGGGAAAGAGUGGGGAGGGGGGGACUUGGUUUUUCAAGCUCAAAGGGAGUCACCAUGAAGUCCUGUCCCCAAUCUACAUGACCUUGUGCUACGGCAUCAGAUUCAGUGGGCUCUUGCAAGCCACACAAUGGUUCCUUGAUCACUGAUGGAAAACCCAUCUGGCUCCUUAGCUAGUGACAAUCCAAAUAAAUGUUGUGACCACUGUUGGAUUCCAUGGUCAUGACAACUCCAACUCUAAGACAUGUCCCUUUUUUCUUCAAUAGUCUUUAAUCCUUAAUGAUAUGAAUUGUUCUUUGUUCUUAUUUUGGAGCUACAGCUGUUCCCUGCACUGCAGAGUUACACUCAAUAUAAAUCUCAGUGUUCUUCUUUACGUUUCCCCAAAGGGUUUCCUUCAUUUCGUCCCAUGUACUUUUAAGUGGACUAAGGAUAGAAAACUUAAGCAGAAACUUUUAAAAUACUGAAACAUGUUUAUAUUCAUGCAAAUAAUCAGUGCUUGGUGAAUAGUAUUUUUAUUUUAUUUUUGCAAAAUUGCCAUAGUAAAUUUUACCAGCAAAGUCCAAGUUGAUAUCUGUUUGUAGAUACAUUAACCUUGAAUGUUCUUUAGUGGGAAUCCAUCCAAAAAUAUUGAGGGGGUCUAAUUAUAUUUAUAUGCAUACAGUUUCUGAAAAUACAGGUCAAUUAAUUGCUGAGAUUUAAUUUAGAUAUUUUUCACUGAGUCUGCAAUUCAUGUUCAUUUUGGCUAAAUUACCCUUGUUUCUUCAUCGUAUUUGCAAAAAAAGGAAAGAAAAGACUUCUGCUUAUUGAACUAUUACUACAGGAUCCAGCUUCCCCCCUAAAUUACACACUUUUUGCAUAAAUGUGCCUAAUUACCUGAAUUCAGUUUUGAUUAGCAGUGUUAAUUGAUGCAGCUGUGGAUGGGAUCUGUUUACCUAAAUUACCAUGUGCAAACAGCAAUACGUCUGAAAGUGAAUAUGCUGAACUGAAAAUACUAAUUAGCUGAGACAGAUUGUUAUUCAAGUCACAUCUCAGGGCCUUUUUAAUGAAAGCCUGGAUAUGUCAGGGCUUUAUGAUAUGCAGACAGAAAUCUCUAUAUUACAUACGAUUUCCCAAAGUUAAUUCAUCAGAGCAGAUGGGAAGUCGUUUGGGUUUCUUGUGAUUUACUUCUAGUGUUAAAUAUGAAUAUUGUGCUUUAUUGACAACAUAGACAUUGUUUUGGAACCCCCUGCUUAAAAAAUCAUAGUGAAUACUAUGACAACAAAGCCAGAAUUUAUAUUUUGGAGCUAGCAGGGCAGUGCUCAGAUCUUCCAAGAGUUCUGAUUACUAGGAGUACUUUGCACUAAGUACAUUAGUGUGUCACCUGGAGGAUGUUCAUGGGACCAAGAAAAGUGCUCCUAUAUCUUUCAGGGGCAUGAAGAUCUGAUGAAGGAAUAGCAUAAGAAAGGGAUGGACAAAACUGUUAAUUUCAGUUUCUCUCUCUUUCUCCCAGUCUUAAGUUUACUUUGCCACAUUUCUGAAUCAGUUUGUGAUUUUUUUCUUCUGAAAAGGCUAUCCUUUUAGGGCACAUUUCUACUGUUAUACAGACUUUUAUGCAGUUUCCAGGAUCCACAUGUUUGCAAGCAAUUUUUCCUAAUAUAAUCAUUUUUGUAUGUUUGAAUCCAAAAAUAUAUGCAUUUUAUACACUCAUUCUGUACACACUUUUUUAUUUUCUUUUUAGAAGAUCACAAAAUUCAUGAUGUGAAUUUUACAGGAUCACUCAUUUCAUGUACUGUUUGGGGAAACGCAAGGUAGGUAGGUUCAAAUUAAAAUGUGACCAAACAGAAUUUCUUCCCCAUCCUUAGCACCAUGACUAUGAGUCUGAAAAACAGAGACUGACUAGUAAUCUCAUUGCCCUCUGGUUACAUAUCUUCCUGGCCUUAGACACAAUAGUGUAAGUGCUGUCUUGAGUUCAUUCUGAGCUCAUUUUAUUUAGGUUUCCCAGCCAUGACCCGAGAUUGCUGAUGGACAGAAGGUUGACUCCAGGACUAAAGUGGCUUUGGGCAAAGUGUCCUCUGUUGGUUAGUCCUUGUGGACUUACCAGGCUAAAUUGUCAUCAUUCCGAGCAUCUGUCCUUUACUCAUAGUGCACUAGGAAGGUCCAGGACAGGUAGCAGUGGGCCUUACUAGGCUUCUGAGACCUUGGCAGUUCCCCAAGGAUAAAAGACCUGCUGGUGUGGUUGUAAUAUUAAACCAUAGUCUAGUGUAAAGUAAAGGUAAAGGGACCCCUGACCAUUAGGUCCAGUCGUGGCCGACUCUGGGGUGGCUGUGCUCAUUUCGCUUUUUUGGCUGAGGGAGCCGGCAUACAGCUUCCAGGUCAUGUGGCCAGCAUGACUUAGCCGCUUCUGGCGAACCAGAGCAGCACACAGAAACGCCGUUUACCUUCCUGCCGGAGUGGUACCUUUUUAUCUACUUGCACUUUGACGUGCUUUCGAACUGCUGGGUUGGCAGGAGCAGGGAUCGAGCAACGGGAGCUCACCCUGUCACGGGGAUUCAAACCGCCAACCUUCUGAUUGGCAAGUCCUAGGGUCUGUGGUUUAACCCACAGUGCCACCCGCGUCCCAUAGUCUAGUGUAGCAUCGUGUAAAUGAACGUCACUCUCAUACUUUCCCUGUUCUCUCUCCUCUCUGCUGUGACUACAAGAAGCAGAUUGGAAGCAUUUUCUUCCUUUUAAAACAAACCUCAGUUUAUCCUCAGGGCUUGACACCUGUGGAAGAAAAUGCUUUGCCUCUUUCAUAAAAAUAUAUAUGAAAUUGCUUCUCUUCCUGCAAAAUCAACUGCGUAGGACAACUGCCCCGACCUUUUAUAUGAAAAGCUUAUAUCUUUGAAUGACUGUGUUGCAUAUAUAUUUUUAACAUCUGAGUUGGCUGUAAGGGUGUGAAGAGUAAUGUGUUCUGUUGCUGAGAAAGUGGCUAGAAAGAUGUUCCCCAACCCCUCAUAAUAUUGGAAUUUGAGGUUCUCCAAUGAAGCUGAGUAGUAGAAGAUUCAGGACGAAAAAGGAGGAAGUGCUUCUGCACAUUGUUAAAUUAUGGAAUUUGCUCCCAUAAGAUAUGGUGAUAGCCCACAACUCAGAAUGCUUUAAAUGGGGUUAAACAAAUUCAUGGAAGCUGCUAUGAUGGGCUGUAGACUAUCUCCAGGAUGAGCUGCCGUGUGCCUCUGAAUAUGACUGGAGAGCAUCAGUGGGAGAAGGCAUUUGUGCUCAUUUUUGCUUGUGAGCUUCCUUUAGGCGCCUGGCUAGCCACUGCAGGACACAGGAUGCUUAACUAAAAAGGCCUUUCGUCCAGCAGGACUGUUCUUGUGUUCCUUAACAGUGAGUUUCAGCGGCAAGAACAGAUUUAACCAGACGGAUUCAGGCUGAAAUUCUUGCUCUGCCACAACCUUCUCUCAGUCCAACCUACAGGGUCAUUCUAAGGCCAUAAUGGGAGAACUCUGUACAUUGCUCUGAGCUCUUUGGACUAAGAACCAGUGUCAGAUAACCAAAUAGGCAGAGUAGGCACUGGCCUAUGGGCCCCACACCUUUUAGGGGUCCUGCGACGAUCAAAAUAAUAUUGAUUUGAUCUCGAAAAAAAAUGAUAAUCAAGCUUUCUUAGUUCAGUGUUAUCCCACUAGAGCACACACACGAGAGGGGCCCAAGAUUUCGACUACCUAGGGGUCUCCACAGGGUUUAAUCCAGCACUGGGAAGGACAAGUUAAAAUUGUAAUCAAUAAGAACCCACUGCAGUGUGGUGACAGAGAUAUUAUGUCAUUUUUUGUUUGUUGACCCUGCUUUGUCAGACUUAAGCUACACAAACCACUUUAUUAUGUGGUGGAAUCAUUCGUGGGCUGCACCAUUUUAGACUGUUGGUGAGAUAUUGUGCUUUUGAAUGCUCACCCUCCUCGAAGAAAGCCCUCUCAUACGUAGAAAGCCAUAACUCUUUAUGGUUUUCUUUGUGCAGAGAAUUUUUCUUUAAAAAAAUACAGUUCUGUAAUUCCUUCACCUGUACAGCCUAAAGUGUAACUACUAGGAACGUUUGUACAUGAUAAGGUGUUUGUACAGAUUGAGAAUUAUACAAACAUUACCAGGAAUUGCCUAUUUGUGCAAUACAUGGUUUCAGCACUCUUAAGACACUUGAAGAAAGAGUUGAAUCCUAAUCACGUUUACUCAGAAGGAAAUCCCAUGCAGUUUAAUAGGAUUACUUGGUAAGUGUUGUUAAGAUUUGAGCCUAAGGAAUAUAUAUCAGUUUAACAACAAAAUGCAGCAUCAAUGUCUUAUAGGUGAGAAAAUGAUGGGAUAACAUGAAAAUAUGAAGGUCAAAUAGUAACAAUCUUGCAGCAUUUUUUUUUAACUUGCUUAUAAGACCUUUAGGGCAAGAAUGAUGCCUGUCUUUGUGCAAUGCAAAGCACAACAGCUCCAGUGAGCCCCCUCACAGUCUCUUGGUGCUACUGAAAUAUAAGUAUUAAAUAAUUCAAGACUAAUAAAGAUAGGAAACUGCAGAGCUAGAGGGAAGCAACUCUGCAGCUAAAGCUGAACAGAGGUUGAUAAAAUAUUGGACCUUGUUUUAGUGGUAUCAGCAGAAGAAGCCGUAAUGCUGUGUGUUUCUGUGAAAACCAUGCAGCAAAAGUAUUGUCAGCAAACUUUCCAAUGCAUAAGGGAUUUUAGAGGUCUGAUCCUCAAGAUAUCUCUUAUGUCAGUUCUAGAUCCUACAAGGGUCGCAGUGUCAUAGCAAGAUCAACAGCAAUUCUUAUUUCUCCUCUGCAGACACAAGGCUGAUUUCCUCAAUAUGUCUUGAUCAGUUAAACUCACUAGAAAAUUAUGUUAAUAUAUCAGUUUUGUAUCAUAUACCUGUCAUUUAUGAUGAAAGAAGCUGGUAAUCAUCACAUUUGGAGGAGGUCCAGAUUGUAAUAUUUCCUUCUUCACAGAACCUCAAGCAGAAGUAUAUUGUUGCAUGACACCCAAUCUCUGGACAAUGCAAGAUUCCAGGGGUUCCAGGGCUCUUUUGAAGGCUUUGGUUUCCUUGGAAUGAGGGACAGUUGAGAUUGUGGUAUCUUUAUGAUACAUGGUUUGUUUACACAAAAUACAACCUAAGCCUACAAUAGAGGGGCUUGCAGCAUUGACACCCCAAUAAGUUCUUGCUUUUCCCACAGCCUCAGGAUCGAUUCAAACAGGAAUUGGGCACGGCUCUGUCUCUCCCAGCUGCCCAUCCUGCAACUUGCUGCUUCUCGCUUCUAGCUCUCACACACAACUCCCAACUCUGUCCUUUGACUUUCUAACUACCAGUGAGUUCAGGGCAGGGGGCCCAUCCAUUUUCUCUUUGGCACAGAGACACUUCCUUUGUUUCCUCAGUAGCCCAUCCUUAGAAAGCCAUUACCCCACCAGGAAGCUAGCUUGGCUCUUCCAGGAAUUGAAUCUGUGCUGUAUCCAGGAAUUAGAAGGGGCCUCAAGCAUACAGCCUACCCUUGUCCCCAAACUCAUAACAAUAUUUAAUAGUAUUUAAACUAAUUAUGCCUAAGGACAUUUGUUGAAAACUUCUUCUUAAAUGAAUUUAGACUUAAGCCCAUAAUUAAAAGAAAAACUAAGUAAUAGAAUCAUAGAAUUGUGGAGCUGGAAGAGACCCCGAGGAUUGUAGCCUCUGGACCAGGAGGAAACAAGCUUGCUCUAUCUUCCCUUUAAAUAUUUGAAGAUGGCUAUCAUAGCUCCUCUUAGUCUCCUCUUUACCAAGCUAAAUAUACCCAACUCCCUCAAGCAUUCCUAAUAAGGCUUGGUUUUCACAUCCUUGAUCAUCUUAGUCACCCUCCUCUGUACACAUUCUAACUUGUUAAUAUCCUUCUUAACUGGACACAAUAUUCCAGGUGUAGUCAGAAUAAAGUGGGACUGUUCCUUCUGUUGACGCAGCCUAGAAUAGCAUUAGCUUCUUUUCUUUUCUUUUCUGCUGCUGCAUCACAUUGUUGAUUCACGUUAAGCUUGUGGUCUGCUAAGACUCUGAGAUUCUUUUCAUAUGUACUACUAACAAGCCAGGUGCCCCCAUCUUAUAUUUGUGCAGCUGGUUCUUCCUGCCUAAAUGUAGAACUUUACAUUUGUCUCUAUUGAAAUUCCUUUAUGUAGUGUGCAAGGUAGAUGCUAUAAACACCUGGGAUUCAUCAAAAGAUGGGAAAUGGUAUGUGUCUAUCCGUCUCCAGUAAAUUAUUAAACAAUUACUGCCAACCAUUAUGAAACCUUUUCUACCAACCAUUGUUAUCAUAGUCGCCUGUUGUGAUAUUUUCAUGUUGUAUAGAUACACAAUUUGGAUUUGCAUUACUAAAUUGUGUAAACAGCCGUCCAGUCUCCCAGAUGUUGAGAGUCCUUAAGAACAAUUGCUCCCUCUCGGGUAUUUGUAAUGGGUGUUAAAGAAAUACAUAAGGGAAGGUGUAGCAUGAGCAUGAGAGCUCUGCCUGCUCAACAUUUUUAUCAGCUAUGAGUUAAAGAGGAACCUUCUAAAGCCAGGAACCUCUGCAGUCAUGGAGGCCACCCAAAAAAUCAGGGUUCUAAAACACUUGAGUAGAGCAGAGUUGGUAAAUGACAGAGCAGCAGAGCCAGUGCAUUCAUCUGCAUUGUGUGCUAUCCUAGUAUGUUAAAUUAACACACAUUAGAAAUGCCUGUAGAAGUGUAGUAGCUACUGUCAAUCUGGAAAAGCAAUAAGAAAAAAGAGGUCCAUAUUGUCAUAGGGAUUAGGAUUUCCUGGCGCUUGUUUCGCAUGACAGUUGAUCUUGCAAGCAGAUUUAGAUCAGAAGUGAUAUUCUUGGGAAUUGACAAAGUGGCAUGUUGAGCACACUGAUUUGGCAUGUAUCUAUGUGCGAUAGGAGCCCUGGGGAAAUGAGCACCUGCAUUUUGUCAUUUUCAAAAUGAAAUAUUGAUGUGGGGCACAUAAAUUCAAAGAUUGUAUCCUCAGAGCUGAAAUGCCUUUGAAAAUCUGGUACCUUCUGACUAGGUAGAGGUUGACUCAUAUUGGAAUGCUAGAAUCCCCCUCCCCCACUAUUGUUAUUUAUUUUUGACAUUUAUACCCUGCCUUUCUAUAAAAUACUCAGUAUGGUGUAGGUUGUGUAGCUUUGCUGAUCUUUCUUGCAUUUCCUUUUUACUGGCAAAUGUAGGCUUCAUGCCUAUGCUCCUGUGCUAGAAGUAUGUUUCAUUGAAGCCAAUGGGACUUCUGAGUAGACAUGCAUAAGAUUGUGCUGUAAGUCUUCUAGUACUGUAUUUGCUCUUUUGGUUGUAUUCUUGAAAUUUGUCUACCAGGAUUGUGGAGGUGCUUAGAAGCCUAAUCUUGAAAAGUAUUUGAUGGGAUAAAAUAUUAGCACCCCCCUUUAAAACAACGUUGAUUGUUUUAUCUAAGGUUUAUAUUCUGGUUCAGAUUUUCAAGCACUAAUCACUCAAACGAAAUGCUAAAAUAAGCUACUAUGAUUUGUGAAGGACAAAGAAUUCUCUACACCUUUUUUCUCUUUUAAAGGUGAUGAAAUAUUAAUCAGAUUCGGCUGCAGCACAUACAAAAUUUAAUCGCAUUGUUCCCAAACCUCAUUUUUGAAAGCUUAUUCUCAUGAUAUCAUUGCCUGGAGCUAAAUCAAUGUUCACAUGAGAGAUUUGGUAAAAUGAAACUUGUAUAUACAAUAGAGUCACAAGGCUUUUCUAUUUUUAUUAUCUGCCUCCAAAUAUCUCUCAUUUUUUUCUUAGUGGGUAAGCUGGCUCUAAUGCAUAAACAUUGCAGUUAGCAAGUGAACCAUACAUUUUCCAGAGCCCCCUUAACUGUCUAGUUUCUUUUUAAAGGGUUGAAAUAAAAAAGCUAUGCUUCUAAGCAGUUUUGUGAAUAUUUUAAUGAGCACUUUUAGAGAUGAUCAAGCCUGGAUAUAUUCUCAGUAAUAUAAUGCAUGUCAGCUCUUCCCAAAUAAUGUCUGGUUGUAAUUUUAAUGAAAGUUCCAGCUAUUUAUUAUCAUAUCUAUAGGCUAUUAACAACCCAAUACAUAAGUCACAGAACCAAAUGAGAUAUCCAGCGGCUAACACAGUUAGGCCUGUAAAUCAGGAGGAGUCACUCAAAACUGAGCUGCGUUCUUAAAACAUCUUUAUCUGUACUAUAAAGAGCUGUGUUUAUCUGGGUGGCGGGGAGCUGCUGGCAGUAAUUGGCUGAGCUGCUGUGAUGUCAUGGGAAAUUCCAGUUGCUGAAGGAAUAAAGAUAUGAGUUUUGCCAUAGUUAUUCACAUUUAGGAAACUCUUCUUAGACCAUUGUACAUGAGGUCACCAUGAACAGAACCACAGAACCACAAGCUUAUUAAAUGGGACUGGAUAUUUUGAUUGCAUUAUGCCAGUGACUUAACAACUGCACUAGUUCCAUAUCAAUUUACAAACCCAGAGCUGGUCUAAAUCAAUGUAGCUUUGAAUGGCUUACGACCAGGUUACCUGAAAGAUUGCCUCCUCUUGCAGAUGCCUUCCUGAACCUUAAUAGUCCCUUUGGAGAUCCUGCUUCCAACAUAUAACGUGAAGUGACUAUUAAGCAAAGGGCCUUUUCCAUAUGGCACUCUGUCUUUGGAAUCACCUCACCAAGAAGAAGUUCAUCUGUUGGCUUCUUUUUGAUGCCAGGUGAAGACCUUUUUAUUCACCAAGGCUUUUGUGUUAAAUCCAGAAGAUUGUUUUGUGCUGUCUCUGUUGUGAGAGAGCUGUCUUUUAUAAUUUAUUGUUUUAAUAGUGAUAAUUAUAGUUAUUUGACAGAACACAUGUGUUAAAAACCUCUUUAAAUGUGACAUUUUGUGUAGAUUUGUUUUAUUAAAUAGCACAUUUAUGUGGGAAUGGGAUAGAGCAGACUUAUAGGUGAACACUUGACCGAGACUUGGAGUGGAAAUAAGAGUCAUUUGUCAGUCCUCAAAAGCAGGAAAUAAAAGCUUACAUCUGUAUCCUGCUUAAGAUGUUUCUAGCUGGCACCUAAGAGACAAUCACCUCGGUUGCAAAUGAGGAUUUCUAAAGAAUUCCAGAACUGGGUUACUGCAGCUGGAAAAGUUCCCUACUUAGUUGACAUCUGUCUCACCCUCUGAAGGAGGGCUAACUCAGAGAAGGGCAUCAGCAAAUGAAGUUAAAGUGAAGGCAGGUUGCCAUAGUAGUAGAUACCUUCUCAGGCAUCUUAUCAAAGUGUCUGCUGUUUGACUAAGCUCCAGGCUUUACUUGCUACUUCCAGAGUAUUCAGGCAUGGCUUUAUUUUCUCUUUAUGCUCCAUGACAGCAACAGUGGCUAAUUUCAGUUUCAAAGCAUUGCAGUUCAACUGUUUAAAUGCAUGUUUAAUUUUCCCUGGUUAACAUAUGCAAAUAGUUUUCUUGUUUCAACCCUUUAAAUAAUUGAAGGAAGUGUUGUUGUUGUUUUAAAAAAUUCUGCACACACACAUAUUUAUACACACACGCAGCACCAGACAGUCCCAGUUUAUUUGAAAGCAUCAACUUCAGUUACUGAAACAAUGCUCAGUCUUCACAUUCCUUUUAACAAGUGUUAUCUCUUUACCCUUUCUGUCUUCUAAAAUGGCAUCAUGCUGGAGGGUUGAAAAAGUACAGUUUGGUUGUCUGUUGCUCUGAAUGUAUUGGUGUUAGGCGGAGGAAAUGUGGAAAAAUAUGGAAAUCUCUUUCCUAUUCAAGUGGAAACUAUUUAGUGAGAUUUGAGGCAGGUUCCAUAAACAUAAUGUGUCAGAUGAAGUCACAGAACCAUACUUUGAAAAGUCCAUUACAAAUGUCUUGCAGCAAUUGCACAGUGAAUACUGAUUUUGCGUGGUACUGCUGCAAGACAAAUGACUCUGUAGUGAAAGAAAAUCUAAUGUUAAUUAAUCUUCAUCAAGGUUUAGUGGAUGAUAGAAUUUAUGUGUUGUACAUCUUACUGGAUUGAAAUUGCAUGAGGAGGAGAAAGCCUGGCUAUAAUUCUGAUGCUGCCAUGUUGAUUGCAAGUCAUUUGGAUAGGUUAACAUUAAACAAAUUUAAUAGAUUUUUUAAAAAUUAAAAAAUCCAGCCAUGCUAACAGCAAAGAGUACAUUAAAUCAGGGGGCAUAGUUUUAAGAACUACGACUUUAAAUAACUACCACUUUCAGAUCCAAAUUGUUGAACCCCUUCCUGUAUGGUAAAUUCCAAUUACUUCCAAAACAAGUUUAAUACUAUUAAACAUUCAUUACUACAUUGGGGCUUAUUCCCAAGUAAAGUGUGCAUAGGAUUUCAGUCAGAACCUAACCCUGCCCAGGGGACAAUUGGAAAAGCAGAGCAACCACCACAUCCAAAGCCCUGGAGACUCCAGCCAGUCAUGGCAGUAGGUGGGAAGGCUCUGUCCUUCCAGGCUGGUGCAAUAGAGCAGCUUGAAACAGGCCCCUCACCUAAAAAUGGAAUGGCAUAAGAUACAGAAGAUCCUUGUCUUACUUAGCUCUGGCCCACCUGUGAAACCCUCUGUAGCCUCCUGUUUGCUUGGGUAGAGAUCAGGCCAUGGCGGCAGAGAAGCUCCUCCCCUCAGUGAUUCUUAUCUCUGUUGAUGAAAGUCAACAGAGAGGUGUCUGUGCUUCAAUCUAACCUCCCCCAGCCAUCCACAUCAGGGGUGUUAGGGUUGCUCCCGUAAUCUAUGUAAAUGGUCUGGAGUUUAGAUAAAUACAAUUUACUUGCUAAAUUUAAUCUGAUUUUUAAAUUCUUAGGAGCACUGAGUGUAUUCUCACAUCAUAUGCCAAAUGAACAUGAGAUGUGCAAAUCGGAUUUACCUGUGAUCUGUUCUAUCAUAAAGCAGGCUUUUAAUAUUCAGAAAAUUCUCAGAUUUUUUCUUGAGAAGACAGGAUAUACGGUAUGUUGACUGUCUGCCGUGCCUCUCCUUUGUCUGUCUUUCGAUAGCAAGUCAAUAAAAAUGAUUAGAGUUGGCACCUCACAAAAUGUACGCCCUUAAACCAUGAAGCUAUAAUACUGUGAAGGAUUUCCCCCCCUGACCUUUUCAAAUUACGUCCAACCAUCUGGGGAAUUUCUCAGUGACUAGAGGUAAUAAGGUCCAAUCCUUUUUGCUAGUUGGCUUCAAAUUCAGCUCCUCACAAGCCUUAAUUUAUCUAUUCUUUUUAUCUCGACCUUGGCAUCUUUUCAAUACUGUAAUCCGUGCAUCUAAUCUUGGUUGUGUUUCUCUUCCCACACCCCCUUCUUCCCCACUCAGGUUUUGGUGUACAAUCAAGCUGUGAAAACUACAGCCAUGAAAGGCCCUCCAUUUAUUGCAUUCUCCAAAAAUGUGAUAUUAGCAUGGGAGGCUAAGCUGGUAUGUUGCCUUUUGAGAGGCGCUUGUUGAAUUUAAUUAGUUUUUAGAUUUCAUCUCCAACCUGCAUCUCAGUUCUUUGCCAUCCUGGGUGAUUUAUGCUUCAGUUGCUUUCAUUCUAUAAAACUUUCUAAACUUAGCUGUGCUGUUGCACUCUGCGGAUUAUUAAGAAGUUGGGGCGAGGUGCUGGUGGGGCGAAUGAGUUUAAAAGUUAUUUGUGUUAAAUUGAUUUCCCUUUAGUUAUCAAACGUGAUAGACACAAUGGCCCGGUAAAUAAGUGAGUCACCCGAGUGAAACACACAAAUAGCUGUUCUAGCCUUUUCUUUUUUUUUAAGCUUCAAUGAAUAGAAUAGAAUAGAAUAGAAUAGAAUAGAAUAGAAUAGAAACGAAACUGGAAGUUAAGAACACAUUUACCAAAAAAGGUACAGAAGUCCCUGGAAGUUCUUAAGAUAAUAAAAGCUUACUUUGUGUUUUAUCUAGCCAAUAUUCUUGCAUUUCAGUUCAGAGAUCUGUGCAUGUAAUCAUCUAUCUACAGUAUGUACAUUGCUGAUGCUAAAUUAGACACCCAUUCCCACUUUGAGGCUCACUGGCCAUGAUGGCUGUGUUCUCCAUCCAGUGCAGCAAAGGACCCUUGGACAGUUAAGUCCAGUCAAAGGCAACUAUGGGGUGUGGCACUCAUCUUGCUUCAGGUCAAGGGAGCUGGCAUUUGUCCACAGACAGCUUUCCAGGUCACAUGGCCAGCAUGACUAAAAUGCUUCUGGCACGAUGGGACACCGUGACAAGUGCCAAAGUGCACAGAAAUGCCAUUUACCUUCCUGCCGCAGCAGGGCCUAUUUACCUACUUGCACUCACGUGCUUUCAAACUGCUAGGUUGGCAGAAGCUGGGACAGAGCAACAGGAGCUCAUCCCAUUGCAUGGUUUCGAACCACCAACCUUCCGAUCAGCAAGCCCAAGAGGCUCAGUGGUUUAGGCCCCGGCACCCUUUUACCUUACUAGAGUCCAUUGCCAUCAUGCAGCCACUGAUAACCUUAUUGUCUAUGAACUUGUCCAAUCUGCUUUUAAAGUCAUCCAAGAUGGUGACCAUUACUACAUGUUGUAGUAGCUAGUUCUAAGUUCUGCCUCAACGUACUUCAUCUCUUGUCACCAGCAUUUCCCUUAAACUUGUUUGGGAAAGACUUCAAGUUUCUGAAGUAGUCCUUCAUGCCUCAAAUUAUUUCCUUGACUCUCCUUGUUGACCAUGCUGGCAUCUUCUUGGCCUUAGUUGUAACUUUGCCCAUCUGUGAUAUACAUUGUAGCUUAUCUUCUAUUUAUUGUGGUUUGAAUAAUCCUCAACCUUUUUUUUUUUUUUUUUUUUUUGGAGGGGGAGAUUUUACUUUCUUGCUUUUCCCUUUUCAGUUCCUUGUUAUUAAUCCCCUCAGUUUUGAAUCUUUUGAAAUCAAAUGUGACAGGAUUGGACACUCACAUCCCACAAAUAUUGAAUUCGACAGUUCUGUGGUCACUGUUUCUAAUAGGUUCAACAGCACUUGCAUUUAAUACCAGGCAAACUACUAACACCAUAUUGGACCCAAAUAUGUCUACAAUCCAGCCAAACAUAAGCCUUUUAAAAUCUGAUUGAUCUCAGUCAGUGAAACUGAAAUCAAUAGGCUUAGAAGUGUUCCGUUUGUUCCGUUUGUUUCUAUUAGCACAGCCAGACAUCCCUUUCAUUCAUCACAGCAGCAUCUGCAUGACAAAAUUUCCAUGGAUUAGGCCAUUGCACAGUUAGCCCUUGCUAUCCACUUGUGGUUCUUGACAGGAAAUGAUACACAUGUGUAUGUUAUGUUUCCUUCUCUGUUCUUGAGGUGCAUGAAUGUGGAGAAAUGAUGUUGAUUCAGAAAAUAUCUAGAAGUCCCAUAAUACAUUCUAGUCACUGAAAAUGUGAACAAACUGACUUGUUGAGCACUUAGAAAAUUGAACCGGAUAUGUGACUCCUACUGCUUUGUCACUUAUUAAUGGCUUAAGAAAAAAGGGCUGUUUAUUAGAUCUGGAUUGUGUUGAGCUUGGGUUGUGGCUGACUGAGGCAGGUCAAAGCAAGGCAAAAGUGGAGAGAGAACAAGGUAAAAUCAGUCCGUGGCCAGCAAGAGCAGGAUUUCCUAGCUCUGGUCAAAAAGGAAGCCUGACCCAGUAGCUUCUGUAGUACUUGGAGAGUGCUAUGUGACUAGCUAUAGCUUAUUGUAAUAAAGAGACUUCCGUGCUUGUGAGACAUUGCCUUUCCUAUGUGUAACAAUUACAGUGCAAAUGAUGAUGGUGAUGAUGACAGGCAAAAUCUAGCUGGUGCAACUCUACAUUGCCUUCAGCCAAUGUGAUAGUAUACAAGUGUUGUUGUGCUCAGGACCUGCUUUUAGGAUUCCCGUAGACAUCUGGUUAGCGGCAGUGAGAGUAGGAUGUUGGAAUAGAUGGUCAACUGGCCUGAUCCAGAAGGCUCUUCUGCUCUUGUGUUCUUCAUUAAUUGCAGCAAAAUCAUGAUUUCUGGAAGAUGUAUUCUAUUCCACAGGGGUGGCGCAUCCCGUUUUACUGCUUGAGGUGAAAUAGGAAGUGCUGCCCCUUCCUGCCACCACUACUACCUCACCUGCUGCGCUGCCUCCACCACCAGUUCUCCGUCGGCUGAAGAGGUGGCGGGGCAAGUGGAGAUGCUGCUUCGUGGUUGGACUGGGUCUGCUACUCCAACCCUGCCAGGGACAUCGGUGUGUCAAAUCAGAUUUGUGAGCAAACGAAGCUACCACAGGCAGUCCAUUGGUCCUGGUAGCUUGAAAGAAGUGUUGUUAGCUCUGGGUCUUUGGUGCCAAGCCCUAGAUCUUCUGCCCUUCCACCCAUGCUUUUUUAAAAAAGAUUUUCAUAACUUUGCUUACAGAGUAGUUGGGGACUUUGGCGGAUUCCAGUUCCAGUGAGAUUCCAUACACCUUCUCUCUUAAUUUUCCCAGAAGUAUAGUAUAUAUUUAUGCAAACUUGUGUUAUAGGCCUGUGUCCCAAGUCUUUUAAGCACCUACUAACACCUCUGAAACUUGGUAUUGUUCACUGUGAAAGACAGCAGCUCUCCAAUGAUCUGAAACAGAAAAUAACCCUUUCGAGGUAUAUUAUCAGAAAUCCUAGCUCUCUGAUCUUCAUCAUGCCUACACUGCAAUGUGCAUGCAUACCCCAUUAAACCUUUGAUAUGCAUCCUUAUUCAGAAAGAACCACAGUCAUUGCACAAAACGGGUUGCACUUUGCCAAAUCUGGAGUGAAGUCAUUUUUUUUUAAUUAUUUUGUACUAUAAUUUUUAAAGGUGUCUUCAAUGGUUUAAUUCAUCACCUUUUAUGUCAAUUGGUAUUGAUUGCCUUGUUCAGUUAGGCAUGUCCACAUGUACAUAAUAGCGCUUCUUAGCUCGUUUUUAAAUUAGACCACCCACAUGCUAUUACUUAUUCCUUUGACCUCUUGCACCAGCACACAGGUGCUGAGAUUGGGGGUGUCUAUGAUGUUUCACUGACACUAAAGACCAGGUACACUGUCAGCAUUUCAAAACACAACAUUACCUGGCACAGUUGUUAGCGACCACGCUUUAAGACUUUCCUUUCGAUGUAAGCUCAUUUCUAAAAUCAUUGUCUUUCUUAAUGAGCCUGAUCUUUCAUAAAACACAAAGAAUAUCAUCAAGUAACCGUGUUCAAAAGGUAAAUGGUCCAUGUUUGCUCAUGCUGUCUUCUUUCAUUAUAAUUUCUUUAUAGUCCAAAGUGUGUUACCCUGUUUAAAAAAAAUGAGCAUUGCCACAGAGGAAAUGAAGUGUCCAAUUAUCUUCCUUAGCGAACCGUGACUGCAGAUUUCUGUGUCUUUGUCCCCUUUUGUCUGAAGAAUAAGUCUUUCCUCCACUGAGAUUGCUGUAAUCACGUAUUUGGGUGGAAUGAAAUAAGAUACCUGGUAUCUUAGCAAGGAGGGGUCUUAGCUCAGUGGCAGAGCUUUGCAGACAGAAGGUCCAUGGUUCAAUUCUUCGUAUGUCCAGAUUUAGCUGGAAGAGACCUUUGUAUGAAAUCCUUCAGAGCUGAUGCCAUCAGCAUAGACAGCAUUGAGCGUUCCUAGGUUAUAAUAUUCAAUAUGAUCACACAUCGUAUUUGGACACCUCCAGCUACAGAAACAGGUGUUUCUUCCACUUGCCACACAGUACCCAUUUCCAAUGCUAGGUUGAGCCCUAGAAGAAGAAGAGCAUUAAUAAAAUUAAUAAAAGAAAUGGAUGUGUGGGGAGCAACUUUGCUCACCUCUUAGCAGCCACAACCAGAUCCCUACAUAACUUGAGCUUCUAAGGCAGAAGCUGUGACUUCCAGGCAGAUUCAGCCCCAGCAACUCUCUGUUUAGAAAUAAAGCAGCACUAAGGGAAAACUAAGUGAAAGUGGGACGUGGGUGGCGAUGUGCGUUAAACCACAGAGCCUAGGACUUGCCAAUCAGAAGGUCGGCAGUUCGAAUCUCCACGAUGGAGUGAGCUCCCGUUGCUCGGUCCCUGCUCCUGCCAACCAAGCAGUUCGAAAGCACGUCAAAGUGCAAGUAGAUAAAUAGGUACCACUCCGGCGGGAAGGUAAACGGCGUUUCCGUGCGCUGCUCUGGUUCGCCAGAAGCGGCUAAGUCAUGCUGGCCACAUGACCCGGAAGCUGUACGCCGGCUCCCUCGGCCAAUAAAGCGAGAUGAGCACCGCAACCCCAGAGUCAGCCACGACUGGACCUAAUGGUCAGGGGUCCCUUUACCUUUACCUUUAAGUGAAAGCUAAAUGGUAUAAGUAUGGCACAUCCUGCAAGUACAGCAGCUAAAGCAGUCUCCUUCCUUGUUUAACAUCUGCCACUGCUCUGCUAAAGUGUGCUGGCUUUAAUUCAACACAUUUGAAACUUCUUUAGCUAUAAUGAAAUCCCAUUUCUAAAAUGAUGUCUGCACGGGAGGUUCCUUCACUCCUUGCCCAAUGCUUUCAUGCUACCAGAAAUGUGGUGUCCCAUAAGUGUAGUGGAAUGUAAGGGUCUAUAUAGGAAGCUGCCUUAUACUGAGUCAGGCCACUGGUCAGUCCAACUCAGGGUUAUGUAAACUAAAUGGAAGCAAGUCUCCAGGAUUUCAGACAGGGAUCUCUCUCAUCCCUACCUGGAGAUGCUGGGGAUUUGGGGAUUGAAAACUGUUAUGUACUAACCUUGGAUCCUAGAACAAUAGGCAAGUAGGAUCCUAGAAUGCAACAACUGAUUGGCUUGCAGGAGAAGACCAAUCAGGGUCCAGGAAGAAGUUAAUUAGCCUAUUAAGCUGGUAGGAUCGUAGAAUGCAACAACUGACUGGCCUGCAGGAAAAGACCAAUCAGGCUCCAGGAGAGAAGCAGAAUCAGCCAAUCACAGUGGGACUCAUUGUGUAAAUAAUGCAUAUAAAAGCCUGAGGCCUGGGGGGUAAUUCAAUCACUGUUUUACAAGCUGCAAUAAAGAGCAUGAAAUCACUACAGGACUCCGAGUAUAUUUCAAAAACCCAGGCCCUUCUGCAUGCAAAGCAGUUGCUCUGCCACUCAGCUAUAGCCCUUCCCCAGAGGUGCAUGGCUUGCAUUCAAGUGGCUGCAAGUUCAGUCCCCAUCACCUCCAUAUAAAAUGAUUAUAGGAACAGUACUGGGACAACUGGCCCAGGACCCAGCACCAAUGGUUGGGCUUAGUAUAGGGUAGCUUUGUGUGACCGUAUUAGAGGAGUGGACCACUGCUCAGUGGUACAUACUUUGCAUGUAUAUGCUCCCAGAUUCAGAGCUCAGUUGAAGAAUCUCAGGGCCAGGAAAGACAUCUGCAUGAUUUCUGCAUGAGUUUAUUUAUAGUAAGCUCGCCACUUACAUGGGGUUUAUGUUCCGGGAAUCACACCUAAAGCCAAAAUCGUGUAUAGUCAGAACCCAUUGGGUUCAUUGACAGCCGGGAUUGCCAAAGUAAUUUCCCCCAGAACUCCACCCACUUUCUGUCCCCUUUUAAUUUUUUUAAUAUUUAUUUACACACGUGUAAAGCUGAAUGGCAACAAGUUAAAUGUGAGUACAUUGCCGGCUUACUGUAUAAUAGUUUUAUACAACCCUUCAUUAAAUUUGAUUCUAAGGUGGUUUACAACAUUUAAAUUGCUAAAAGUACGGUAUAAUCCACAGUGAAAUCAAAAAUAGAUUUUAAAACUACUUCAGAUGCUGUGGUGAAUAAAGAGCAGAUGCCAUAAUAAGGCAGGUAUGGAGAACUGCCUUCAGCCCAAAGAUUGCAUUUUCCUAUGUUCCAUCUUUGGCGUGGGGCACAUGUCACUGGUGGGUGGGGCUAGAGGCAAAAGUGGGAGGCUGUAUUUGACCCCUGGGUCUUAGGUUCCCCACUCCUGUGUUAAGGGGCUGCAGGACUCUUUUGGGGAGGUUUAAGGACCCUUGAACCAAUGGUCUUACUUAGCCUUAGGUAAUCAGUGCUUGCCUUGUUGCCUGAACAGUUUUCAACCAAGUGAAAUCCACCACCUUUGCUGAUCCCUCCCACCAUCUGCCUUGUGAUUGGGGAGAUUGCUGCAAGGGCAUCAUCUUUCUGUGUCACAUAAUAAUAAUAAUAAUAAUAAUAAUAAUAAUAAUAAUAAUAUUUAUACCCCACCCACCUGGCUGCGUUUCCCCAGCCGCAGCCCCUGUCUGCUAUAGUCUUCCUGCACCAGUAGAUAAUGACUUGGAAUUUCCAAAAACUACUAUUACACCUACAAACCUCACAACAGCACCCUUGUGGUGCCAGCAAAUACACAUUGUGCAGAUAUUUGGGCUGCCAGAUAUACAUCUUCUGCUGCUCUUUAUGUGGAACAAUUUAGGACUCAUCUUAGGACUCUGCCCCAUGAGAUUGGCUUGCCCAUCUAAUAAAAACUUACAGACACCCACUGUUUUCUACCCAUAACCUAAGAAUAAAAGGGCCUCUUUGCAGCAGCACGUUUGAAUGUCAUUGUAAUGUCACCACUGUUAGCUGCAUUUAUGUAUCUUUUUACAAGGAUGUGCUUUGGGAGAAAAUGCAGACAGCAUCACUUAUAAUAGAUGGCUCAUUUGUAAUUCUGCAAGCAAUAAAUCCAAAGUAAUGUUAUAAUUUUGAAUUCAGACAAGAUUUCUGGACUGUGCCACACUACUAGAGCUGUGUGUUUUUUUAACUACACAUUUUAAUAUUCAGAAUUACAUUUAAAUAAUAAUGCAUCAGGUAAGAACUGCCUUAAUAAUUUCAACUUUCCCUCCACUCUUACUUUUUUUAAAGCACCGAAGGCAUUGAAACUCAACUUGAAAUUAUAGGAGGGAUUGCACUUUCAUUCAUUCCUGCAAUUUCUGACAUCUCAGUUUGAACAUUGCCUUUCAUACUGCAAUGCAUGUGGGGAAGUCUAAAUAUAUGAUCCAUUGAUACUAAUAUUUUGCAUUAAAGUCUUAGUAUUUUAUAACAAAAUGUAUAAUUCCACUGUUGUUACAGUGAUAUCCUUUGUGCGUAGUAAAGUGAAGUAUCCAAAACCACUUUUGCGCUACUAGAAUUUAGUUUUGCAGUCAGUUAUAUGUGUCAUUAAGUAGGAUUGCCAUAUGUCUGGGAAAACGUGGACAUGUCCUCUUUUGGGGGGCCAAUGUGCCCCCCCCCCAGGCGGAUUUUUACAUUUUAAAAUGUACUUACGGGACCGCCUCUCCUGGUAUGCCCUGCGGAGGACCUUACGGUCCCCAAAUAAUAAUAUAUUGGAGGUCCCAGGCCUCAAGGAGGUUAAACUGGCCUCAACCAGGGCCAGGGUCUUUUCGGCUUUGGCCCCAGCCUGGUAGAACACUCUAUUGUAGGAGACCAGGGUCCUGCGGGAGUUGAUAUCCUUCCGCAGGGCCUGCAAGAUGGAGCUGUUCUGCCUGGCCUUCGGUCUGGACCCAGUUUGGGACUCUGUACGUUACCUCUUUGGGCCUUUUAUCGGCUCAUAUGGGACCAACAUGGAUAACUGGCCCUGAUAUAUAUUUGAGGUUCCCGACCCCUAUGGUUGUAAUUUCAUGGACAGUCAUUUAAUUUUAUCCUGAUUCUAAUUUUAAGCUGUAUUGUAAUCAAUUGUUAAAAUCAAUAAAUCAGUAAUCAAUAAAUUACUCGAGGGGGCUGUCCCCCCAAAGUUGAUGUGCAUUGCUAUUCAAAUGGUGUGUGAGAGCUGCAUUUUGUUAUCAAUUAUGUGGAGCAGGGCUUACCUUCCAUAUUUUAUUCAAGUUGGCACCUCUGUAACACAGCAUCUCAGUCCUCAGAGUUUAGGAGACCCUUAAUGGAAGAGCUGUUUUGACUAAAUGAUGUAAGUUGGCUUUGUCUGAAAAUUCUGCGCAGCAGAAUCAUUAAAUGAACAUGAGCAUAGAAAGUUUACAUUCAUGAAAUGAUCUUAACAUCCUUUCGUCAAGGCAUCCUGGAUUAAAACUACAUUGAAGUGCUCAGCAGUUUAAGGAAUUAGUACUUUAAUUGCAUUGUUUAACCAAUUAACUCAGCUUCAGUGUUUAAUAAUGUAUUAUAGGAAAUAGUAAGUGAGACUUGUGGGCAUAGGGCGGUAUAUAAAUUCAAUAAAUAAUUAUGAUAAUAGGUCCAAUAACUGGUAUUUUUUUCUCCUUCUUUGCUGUAUUAUAGUAUUCCAUUUGUUCUAAGUAUAUAUUUACUUGCAUACAAGGAUCUAGAGAGAAAUCAGAGGCAAUUAUUACCAACAGAUAAUGCUAAAAAACUUACUACUAAGAAAUUCUAGAAUAUAUAUAUAUAUUAUCCUAGAAAAUUUAUAAUAACAAUAGAGCUAUAUUUUCAGAUGAAAAGAUUAUGAUGACAUCAUAACCAACUACUCAUGAUAGUCUGAGCUGUUAAUGUAAAUCCAAACCUAGCUAUCCAUAUUCAGGAUAUUUAUUUGUUUUUAUAGCUGCAUCUCUAUUGUCUGGUGCUGUUUCUGAAGAUUAGUCCAUCCAAUCAUCAUAAUCAGUCAUCUAUUUUCCUACAGCAAAAAGAAAAUAUUUCUUUAUUUUUUUAUUGAAAAUACUGUUUUAUCGAACAAAAAGAAAAUUAUGUUUGCAUUGGCAAACAGACAACAACAAAACCUUAGGAGAUUUGCUUGGCAUUGCAAAUUAAUAGUGGAAAAACAGAAGAAUUAUAAUUAGAAAGGAAAAUAACGUUCCUUUUUCAUAUACUUUGUGUGUUUGGGGGGGAGUGUGUGUGUGUGUGUGUGUGUGUGUGUGUGUGUGUCCCUCACCAGCUUCUUAGAAAAUAAUGCAAUUCAGGCUGAGGAGAAUUACCGCCUAGCAGAUUCUAUUUAUCUGUAGCUUAAAAAGCAGCUGCGUUUUUGUAAAAACCAAUGAAUGUGGCAGUCCUACUUAAAGGUAGAAGAAAAAGAACACCCCUUGUUUUGUAAUAAGGGGAUUUUCAAUUUAAAAGCGAGAGAGGGCCUGUUGUGUGAAGUAUGGUUAUUACAUUCAUUGUAUUCUAUCUCACCCACCAGGAGGCUAAUAAUGAAGGAGUCAGUAAAGGAGGCCAGUGCCAUGGGGGUUAUCUCACAGUCCCAGAUGAUGGCUAAGUUGAAGAAGGCAGAAUCGCUUUUGGAUGACAUUCAGGUCUGAAUGAUGAUUUAGAGAAGAAAAGGCUAUUCUUUCCAAGGUAAACAGUCCAUUUCAUCUGUCGGUUGUAUAUAUUGGUCUAAAAUAUGUUUAUAUAGAUAUCUGUAAAAUUUACUUUUAUCGCUUUCAGGUUUUUUUCUUUCCGUGUGACAGUGAGCUUUCAGCAAUGUAUUUCUGAGACAAAAGAUGCACUACGGACUCAGCCACACCUAAAGGAAAGCUUUGAAAGAAUUGCCAGGUUCACUUUUAAUAAUGAGAUAAAAAAUUGCCCACAUGGAGUCAGCAGAAAAUGAACCAGUGGCAGGCCUGCUGCAAAUAAUUCCAGCAAGGGCCAAGAGACUAGUUGAAAAAUGACUUCAUGAGGUGAAUAUCCUUAGUUCUUACUUACGGUUUUGUAACUAUGCAAUCAUUUUCUCUUUUAGGAGCCAUGAAUGAAAGUGGAUUUCAGCACAAGCGCAUCUCCACGCUAAAUGGCCCUCUGAACAUUUGUCAUUUGUGUUGAGUCCGUUGACAGUCCAGCUAUCCUUAUUGCUGUUAUUUAUGACAACUAGUUUAAUAUAUGUAAAUAGGC